rnacentral:tRNA from 1 species
AAGGGCUUAGCUUAAUUAAAGUGUCUGAUUUGCGUUCAGUUGAUGUAGGAAUAUAGUCUUACAGUCCUUA